GGUGCCUGACCUAUGUGGGAGUCUCUCUUUAGCUCUGCGUGCAGUGAUACUCCGUUUCUGGCCGCGACUGCGGGUAGCUGUCGGGGACUGCUAAAACCCGUUAAAGUCGAAAGGGUUUUCACGGGAACACAGCUGCAUGCUAAUACAACAAGUGUUCUACACAGUGUAGAAAAAGCCAGAUUUAAGGUGUUGCGCAUUGUCGCAGACAACCACCCCACAAGCACCAAACUGUUCUCUAUCCUGUCCAACAGGUCAGUUCUUCCAGUUGUCCAAUAUGUGCUUGGUUUGUACAUUAAUAUUACUGCAUAGUUUACAUAUUGCAUUUAGACUCGCAGGCACCCGCUAGAUGGAAAACGUCCACUGUUCCUAUCAUUCGAGUACUGCUAUAUAAUAAAGAAUCUAUGGUCACAAUUUUUGGCACACAACCGACUAUUCUGCAACAACGGAAAGUUCAUGAACCUAAAGUAUUUGAGAAUGCUCCUUGGGAUUCAGCAGAGGCAGGUUGGCAUUAAACUAGUACGUGGCCUACCCCUAAAGCACCUGUUUCCAGACAACCUCGAAAAAAUGAAUGUGAAACGCGCUGUUGACGUAUUCUGAGGUUGACGUAUUCUGAGGUACCUGAGGUGACUGCAGAGUUGAGUAACCUUCAGCAUUAUGGGCACAACGUUGGUAUCACAGGGUUCGAUGGCAGCCAUUCAAUAAUCAAAUUUCUUGAGGUCUGCAAGUCAUUCACCUUGCACAAUAUAAAGAGCACAAGUUUCCAUAUCUUCCGUUGUGACCCAAUGAGAAUGCCAUUUUACAGUGAGAACGAUGAAAUGUUCGUAGCUGUGGUUUCUAACCUCCAUUUACAACCAUUUACUUACCCUGACUUAAGUUUACUCUCUUCCACCUCGUCUUUUUUGGCUUGAAGGCACCUUUCUAAAAUACAUCGAUCACUGGAAGCAAGUAGCACCGGCUAAGGCAGCUUUUCUCUCAUCAGAAACCUACGAAGGCCACUGUUCUAUGCACUCGCUACUUGCUCACUCACGGUUUUAAUUAUGUCCUAACGUUUAAGUAUUCUUCUGAUGAAGUGGAAUCUUCGUUCUCAGCCAUACGGCAACUUAAUGGGUCAAAUGACCAGACCGAUGCAUAUGCUGCUUUGUCUACACUCCACAAAAUUGUGGUGACUGGACUCGUAAAGCCAUCUCCAAGUGUAAAUGUUUAAAAUUCUGUCUUUCAACUGCGCGGGCUCCUUAAAGAUACCGCAGGGUUUACGACACAGAUCCCUCCACAAAAUGCAGAAGUACUGCAGCCAUAUUUGGGUCAACUCAAAGCAACAUCAGGUACGAAUGGGGCAAUGGUGAUUGAGUGACGAACAUGCACUAACUGUUGCCAGAUUUUCAGCGGCACCAUGUCCUGGAAUUAAAUCAUCCACCGUUGGUCUUAUAGCUGGAUACCUGGUCAAAGUCAUUGAGACAAAGAUCAACUGCGUUGGGUGCCUCGAAAGAGUCAAAUGCAAGUCAGAUAAUGCUUACUCUAGCUGUGAUCAACAAGUUGGACCGCGGUGGCCUUUCGUAUCCAAACUCACGGUUUGUGAGCUUCUUAGUGACACUUGAAAAUGUAGCUUGUACCAUGAGGAACAUAUUAUUAGAAAUACCGAAGCCACUGAGCUGAUUCGUAACUAGGCUGACUUGGGCUGUCGUCGACAAUGCUUUGUUAAUUUGUAGAACUGACAACACUGUAGCACAUAGGACAGUACUGGUCCAGACAGUUCUAAAAAAGUUAGCAUGGCCGUUCAUAACAAAGAUAAGUGCUCACGUUACACAGCAAAACAAAAACAAGAAGAUUUUGCACAACAAACCUGUCUCCCGAAAAGUGUGCAAACUCUGAGAUGCUAUUGCAUAGUAUUCUAUACAAACUGCAUUGUACUUCGUGAUGAGUGUAUAAACUGUAUUGUACUUCUUGAUGUGUAAGCGAAAAGUCCUCUUGUGUGGUUAUUUAUAUUUCACUUAAAGUUUCACUUGUGAAUCUGGGCGCACGAAAAUUCAAGCGGUAGACAAACUACAUUGUACAGCGAUAAAUAGCGGCAAUGUGCUGCUCUCACAGAAAACAUGAGCGCACUUGAUUUGGAGAGGAGUUUAAAGGAGCAGUCUAGAGGCCCACAAUUUUGUUUCUGUUUUUGGUCAGCAUGGAAUGUUAGGCGGCCGAAAACAGUUUUCCCACAAUUAGUGAAACCGUAGCGAAAUUGGGACGCUUGUAAUAGCUCCCCGAACCUCCCGUGCGCGGAAGACCCUCCUUCGCCUUCACGAUAGGCAUGUGAUGAGCGCCACCACACGCGUCACUGUGUGGCGCAAGUGGUGAGGACGCUUCUCAUUGGCCCUGGGAACACAUGAUCGAGGUGAGCAACAUCGCGCAGGCCGGAACGUCUGCUACCGCUUCGGAGACCCCAUGCGUUCUCCGGCUACGUGAUGUCCGAAAUGGAGGGUUUGAAGGCUGUCCACGACACAACCACGAUCUUUUUGGGACCGCAGACAUCACGGGAAGAACGAUUGGUGCAGCCCGAAAUUAACUGCGCUUGUACAGCGAAAAUCCUGUGCUUGUCAACAGUGUACAGCCUGUCCGACCGUUUUCACCGCGCAGUUGGUUCAGUGGCUAACAGGUGGCGCAACAAUACCGCCGCCAUAGCUUGCUUUCUCCUACUGUGAAUUCUGAGAUUGCACAGAAGCCACGGAUAUAUUACUCUUGUGAUCGUAAUCAUAUUCUCUCAGGCUGCAUGUAUGCUUUGUUUUCUUUUCUUACAAAACGUGAUAUAAAUCAUAUAAAGAAUAGAAGUUAACAAGAAACCGCUCGCAAUGUUCGUAGCAGACGGUUUUUCCUACCGAACGAAUGAGGGUCUCUCUACCACCAACGUCACAGUAGAGUGGGUGUGGUCUGCAGUUGGAGCGCUCCGGCCUGUCACCGCGGCAGCGAUUUUCCAAAUUAAUUGCACCGUGGUGAAACAACUUUGGACAGAAAUAUUUUGUGGGAAUGCUUUUCCCAUACUGCUUUACAAGAUGACAGCAGUUUUUGGCCAUGUUAGAUACUACUUUAACGCUCCUUUAACUGUGCAAUUUGACCUCAUAGGUUGAGUAGCACGCAGAAACGUCUUUAAAUCGAUUCUCUCGCAUAGCGUACACAGCAUACACCAUAACCGAAACGACAGAGGGCUUCGCGCACCAUCUAGCGGGAGCGCUGCCAACUAUUGUUCCAGUAUCCUUUCCGUACGGGGUGCGCUGAAUGGUCAGGUUUCCUGUCUUAUUUAGUGGGUCGUGAUUGCUAGUACUGAAUAACGGUGCCAAGACAACAACAAAAGACACAAGUCAAGGUUGGUACACUGCUGCUACUGAAUAACGGCACCAAGACAAUACGAAGAGAAGAUAUGACAACACAAUGCCAAGUUGAUACAUUGCUACUACUGAAUAACGGCGGCAAGACAACACAAAGAGAAGAUAGGACAACACAAUGCCAAAGUUGGUACAUUGCUACUACAGAAUAACGGUGCCGAGACAACACGAAGACAAGAUCGGACAACACAACGCCAAAGUUGGUACAUUGCAGUUACUGAAUAACAGCGCCAAGACAAUACGAAGAGAAGAUAGGACAACAUAACGCCAAGUUGGUACAUAGCUACUACUGAAGAACAGUGCCAAGACAACACGAAGAGAAGAUAGGACAACAAACGCCAAAGUUGGUACAUUGCUAUACUGAAUAACGCGCCAAGACAACACGAAACGAAGAUAGGAGAACACAAGCCAAAGUUGGUACAUUGCUACUACUGAAUAACGGUACCAAGACAACACGAAGAGAAGACAGGACAACACAAUACCAAGUUGGUACAUUGCUACUACUUAAUAACGGUGCCAAUACAAUACGAAGAGAAGAUAGGACAACAACGUCAAGUUGGUACAUUGCUACUACUGGAUAACGGUGCCAAGAGAACACGAAGAGAAGAUAGGACACCGCAACGUCAAGUUGGUACAUUGCAACUACCGAAUAACAGUGCCAAUAGAACACGAAGAGAAGAUUGGACAACACAGUGCCAAAGUUGGUACAUUGCUACUACUGAAUAACGGCGCCAAGACAACGCGAAGAGAAGAUAGGACAACACAACGCCAAGUUAGUGUACUUCGACUGCGUACUAGCGCUUUCUGUUCAUUUUAUGCGUUGCACAGUGGAACAUUCUUCGUAUGUAGGUGUGCCGAAAUAAAUCAGCUGUCAUUCAACGCUCGCCACGUCAAUAUGCUCUGUAGCUCUCUCAAUUUGUUGCGAAGUCUGCCAUAAUUUGAAACGUACGAACAA